CUACGGGAGGCUGCAGUGGGGAAUAUUGGACAAUGGGGGAAACCCUGAUCCAGCAAUGCCGCGUGUGUGAAGAAGGCCUGCGGGUUGUAAAGCACUUUCGGUUGGGAGGACUGCUUCUAGCACUAAUAUUGUUGGAAGUUGACGUUACCUUCAGAAGAAGCACCGGCUAACUCCGUGCCAGCAGGCCGCGGUAAUACGGAGGGUGCAAGCGUUAAUCGGAAUUACUGGGCGUAAAGCGCGCGUAGGCGGCUAGAUCAGUCGGGUGUGAAAGCCCCGGGCUUAACCUGGGAACUGCAUCCGAUACUGUCUAGCUUGAGUACAGAAGAGGAGAGUGGAAUUCCACAUGUAGCGGUGAAAUGCGUAGAUAUGUGGAGGAACACCAAUGGCGAAGGCAGCUCUCUGGCCUGAUACUGACGCUGAGGUGCGAAAGCGUGGGGAGCAAACAGGAUUAGAUACCCCGGUAGUC
rnacentral:rRNA from 1 species